GCAGGCUGCAACCCGCCUGCAUGAAGUUGGAAUCGCUAGUAAUCGCGGAUCAGCAUGCCGCGGUGAAUACGUUCCCGGGCCUUGUACACACCGCCCGUCACACCAUGAGAGUCGGGAACACCCGAAGUCCGUAGUCUGACCGCAAGGGGGACGCGGCCGAAGGUGGGUUCGAUAAUUGGGGUGAAGUCGUAACAAGGUACC
rnacentral:rRNA from 1 species